ACGCACGCUGGCGGCGUGCUUAACACAUGCAAGUCGCACGGAAAGGCCCUGCUUUUGUGGGGUGCUCGAGUGGCGAACGGGUGAGUAACACGUGAGUAACCUGCCCUUGACUUUGGGAUAACUUCAGGAAACUGGGGCUAAUACCGGAUAGGAGCUCCUGCUGCAUGGUGGGGGUUGGAAAGUUUCGGCGGUUGGGGAUGGACUCGCGGCUUAUCAGCUUGUUGGUGGGGUAGUGGCUUACCAAGGCUUUGACGGGUAGCCGGCCUGAGAGGGUGACCGGCCACAUUGGGACUGAGAUACGGCCCAGACUCCUACGGGAGGCAGCAGUGGGAAUAUUGCACAAUGGGCGGAAGCCUGAUGCAGCAACGCCGCGUGCGGGAUGACGGCCUUCGGGUUGUAAACCGCUUUCGCCUGUGACGAAGCGUGAGUGACGGUAAUGGGUAAAGAAGCACCGGCUAACUACGUG
rnacentral:rRNA from 1 species